CUAAGAUGUCUUUUUUAUUUGAAACUUCCUGACAACACCUGAGAAUUUGCGCAAAUGAACAGAGGCGACCAUGCCACAAACACCACCUGGUGGCCAAUAUCAACUAACCGAAGGAAGACCGGGGAGCAUGAUUCAAAUUAAUCAUGCUAAGGUUCUAAAAAUUAUUGAAAUGUUAUGAUUCACUUGGAGAGCGUCAUCAAACGAGAAGAAUGCCUCACAAGAUUUGGGGACUUCAAGAAAAGUGGAACUAAUUCAAAUCUGUUGGUACUACAGCUCUACGUUGUCACCGGUGCUAUCGUGUGGGACCUGAUGGGAGUUGUGAACAUCAGAGAACCAUCUGCAAUGCCAAGCAAGAUGAGGAAUGCCUGGUGAAGAAGUACUAUAGUGGUGACAAGUUCUUCCGUGGAUACCAGGACUGUCGGGAAACCUGCACCAACAUGACCUCAGUCCAAG